UACGUAGGUGGCGAGCGUUGUCCGGAUUUACUGGGCGUAAAGGGCGUGCAGGCGGUUUGUUAAGUGCAGGGUGAAAGCUCCCGGCUCAACUGGGAGAGGUCCUUGCAUACUGGCGAACUCGAGGGAGGCAGAGGAAAGUGGAAUUCCCGGUGUAGUGGUGAUAUGCGUAGAUAUCGGGAGGAACACCUGUGGCGAAGGCGGCUUUCUGGGACCUUACCUGACGCUGAGACGCGAAAGCGUGGGGAGCGAACCGG
rnacentral:rRNA from 1 species